UUAAUUGAAGAGUUUGAUCAUGGCUCAGAUUGAACGCUGGCGGCAGGCCUAACACAUGCAAGUCGAGCGGCAGCACAGAGGAACUUGUUCCUUGGGUGGCGAGCGGCGGACGGGUGAGUAAUGCCUGGGAAAUUGCCCGGUAGAGGGGGAUAACCAUUGGAAACGAUGGCUAAUACCGCAUAACCUCGCAAGAGCAAAGCAGGGGACCUUCGGGCCUUGCGCUACCGGAUAUGCCCAGGUGGGAUUAGCUAGUUGGUGAGGUAAGGGCUCACCAAGGCGACGAUCCCU
rnacentral:rRNA from 1 species